rnacentral:rRNA from 1 species
AUGAGCGCUAGCGGGAGGCCUAACACAUGCAAGCCGAGCGGUAGAGAUCUUUCGGGAUCUUGAGAGCGGCGUACGGGUGCGGAACACGUGUGCAACCUGCCUUUAUCUGGGAGAUAGCCUUUCGAAAGGAAGAUUAAUACCCCAUAAUAUAUGAUUCGGCAUCGGAUUCUAUUGAAAGCUCCGGCGGAUAGAGAUGGGCACGCGCAAGAUUAGAUAGUUGGUGAGGUAACGGCUCACCAAGUCAGUGAUCUUUAGGGGGCCUGAGAGGGUGACCCCCCACACUGGUAAUGAGACACGGACCAGACUCAUACGGGAGGCAGCAGUGAGGAAGAUUGGACAAUGGGUGAAAGCCUGAUCCAGCCAUCCCGCGUGAAGGACGAGGGCCCGAUGGGUUGUAAACUUCUUUUGUAUAGGGAUAAACCUACCCUCGUGAGGGUAGCUGAAGGUACUAUACGAAUAAGCACCGGCUAACGCCGUGCCAGCCGCCGCGGUAA